rnacentral:tRNA from 1 species
GCGGACGUAGUGUAAUGGUAGCACGCAGGUUUUCAGGGCCUGAUUUCCGGGUUUCCACCCGGGUGGCGCGGGUUCGAUUCCCGUCGUCCGCUCCA